rnacentral:lncRNA from 1 species
UAUAUACAUUGCUAAAUGUAUACAUACACGAGCCCGACUACAAUACUAUCAGUAGUACUAAACACUACUGAUUGUUCUUAGAGCAAGUGGCAAAGGAUUUAGCGGUUGAUAUCCGAGGUCUCAAGUUCGAAUCUUAGUUGAUUCACAUUUUCAGUUAAGUUUAUUUCUAAAUGAAAUAAACGAUGCGGGUAGCGUGCUACCUAUCUCUCAAAAAAAUACUUGAUGCGACCAAAUUUUUUACCGUUAAAUUUAUUUUUUUGACCACUAAAUUAAUUCUAAGAACCACUAUCAUCUUAACUGUAUAUCCUUUUAUCCAAUAAUUGAAAAUCUAAUAACACUAAUUACUUGAUGGAUACUAUUAAUAAUAUUCUAACCUAGUUCUACAUAUAGUUUCAUAUUAUAUAAUAAUCAUGUAC